AUUGAACGUUGGCGGCAUGCCUUACACAUGCAAGUCGAACGGUAACAGGUCUUCGGAUGCUGACGAGUGGCGAACGGGUGAGUAAUACAUCGGAACGUGCCUAGUAGUGGGGGAUAACUACUCGAAAGAGUGGCUAAUACCGCAUGAGAUCUACGGAUGAAAGCAGGGGAUCGAAAGACCUUGUGCUACUAGAGCGGCCGAUGGCAGAUUAGGUAGUUGGUGGGAUAAAAGCUUACCAAGCCGACGAUCUGUAGCUGGUCUGAGAGGACGAUCAGCCACACUGGGACUGAGACACGGCCCAGACUCCUACGGGAGGCAGCAGUGGGGAAUUUUGGACAAUGGGCGAAAGCCUGAUCCAGCAAUGCCGCGUGCAGGAUGAAGGCCUUCGGGUUGUAAACUGCUUUUGUACGGAACGAAAAGCCCUGGGUUAAUACCCUGGGGUCAUGACGGUACCGUAAGAAUAAGCACCGGCUAACUCCGUGCCAGCCGCCGCCGUAAAAC
rnacentral:rRNA from 1 species